CCGACUAACCAUGCGAGUCCAGGGGGGCUUUGCCCACCGGCGGACGGCUCAGUAACACGUGGACAACCUGCCCUCAGGAGAGGGAUAACCCCGGGAAACUGGGGCUAAACCCUCAUAGGUCAUAUUUGCUGGAAGGCAAUAUGGCCGAAACUCCGCAAGGAGCCUGAGGAUGGGUCUGCGGCCUAUCAGGUUGUAGUUAGGGUAACGGCCUAACUAGCCUGCGACGGGUACGGGGUGUGAGAGCACUAGCCCGGAGAUGGACUCUGAGACACGAGUCCAGGCCCUACGGGGCGCAGCAGGCGCGAAACCUCCGCAAUGCGCGAAAGCGCGACGGGGGGACUCCAAGUGCCUAUGCUCAGCAUAGGCUGUUCUCGAGCCUACAAAGCUCGAGGAGUAAGGGCUGGGUAAGACGGGUGCCAUCUGUAAUGGCAUUGAUGGAGAUAACUUGCCGUUGCAAGGCAUAAGCCGCCGCGGUAAUACCCGCAGCCCGAGUGGUGGCCGCUAUUAUUGGGCCUAAAGCGUCCGUAGCCGGUCCAGUAAAUGCCUGGGUAAAUCGUGGAGCCUAACUUCACGAAUUCCGGGUAGACUGCUGGACUAGGGACCGGAGGAGGGAGAGGGUACUCCAGGGGUAGGGGUGAAAUCCUGUAAUCCUUGGAGGACCACCAGUGGCGAAGGCGCUCUCCUAGGACGGGUCCGACGGUGAGGGACGAAAGCCAGGGGAGCAAACCGGAU
rnacentral:rRNA from 1 species